GAUGAACGCUGGCGGCGUGCCUAAUACAUGCAAGUCGAGCGAACAGAUGAGGAGCUUGCUCCUCUGACGUUAGCGGCGGACGGGUGAGUAACACGUGGAUAACCUACCUAUAAGACUGGGAUAACUUCGGGAAACCGGAGCUAAUACCGGAUAAUAUAUUUAACCGCAUGGUUCAAUAGUGAAAGACGGUUUUGCUGUCACUUAUAGAUGGAUCCGCGCCGCAUUAGCUAGUUGGUAAGGUAACGGCUUACCAAGGCAACGAUGCGUAGCCGACCUGAGAGGGUGAUCGGCCACACUGGAACUGAGACACGGUCAAGACUCCUACGGGAGGCAGCAGUAGGGAAUCUUCCGCAAUGGGCGAAAGCUUGACGGAGCAACGCCGCGUGAGUGAUGAAGGUCUUCGGAUCGUAAAACUCUGUUAUUAGGGAAGAACAAAUGUGUAAGUAACUAUGCACGUCUUGACGGUACCUAAUCAGAAAGCCACGGCUAACUACGUG
rnacentral:rRNA from 1 species